GCGAGAGUGGCGGAACUGGUAGACGCGCUGGACUUAGGAUCCAGUCCUUCGGGGUGGGGGUUCGAGUCCCCCCUCUCGCA
rnacentral:tRNA from 1 species